UAGGGAAUUUUCGGCAAUGGGCGAAAGCCUGACCGAGCAACGCCGCGUGAAGGAAGAAGUCAUUCGUGAUGUAAACUUCUGUUAUAAAGGAAGAACGGCGCCUGUAGGGAAUGACAGGCGAGUGACGGUACUUUAUGAGGAAGCCACGGCUAACUACGUGCCAGCAGCCGCGGUAAUACGUAGGUGGCGAGCGUUAUCCGGAAUCAUUGGGCGUAAAGAGGGAGCAGGCGGCAGUGCAGGUCUGCGGUGAAAGCCCGAAGCUAAACUUCGGUAAGCCGUGGAAACCGCACAGCUAGAGAGCAUCAGAGGAUCGCGGAAUUCCAUGUGUAGCGGUGAAAUGCGUAGAUAUAUGGAGGAACACCAGUGGCGAAGGCGGCGGUCUGGGGUGCAGCUGACGCUCAGUCCCGAAAGCGUGGGGAGCAAAUAGGAUUAGAUACC
rnacentral:rRNA from 1 species